GUCCGCGUAGCACAGUGGUAGUGCGCUUGACUACGAUUACGUUGGCAUAUUUUGUAUCAGCAAGUGUGCCUCGAAUCAUCAUCAAGAGGUCGCGAUUUCGAAUAUCGCCGUGGAUU
rfam:Cryptococcus gattii R265 unplaced genomic scaffold supercont2.17, whole genome shotgun sequence.